AAUUAGAUUUUGUUCCUGUCCUUUAUGUCUUGCCCGAUUAUAACCGUUUAGCUCUGUACGCGACACAUCGCUGUUUCUAACUUCCCAUUUUGGUCUGUUUUGAUACUAACCCUAUCUCACAUCAUUCACUCCUACACAAGAUUCAGAAGAAUUCAUCCCCAUUUUUAGAACAGUGCUGGCUUUCGCUUGACACAUGUUCACCUUCUUCCUCUGAGGUAUCUUUUGCUGUCUGGGUUUUCUUCAGGAUUCAGAAUUCGGAUAGAUUCCUGAUUAUCACAAUUCAGUUUCCAAAAGUUGGAAGAUUAUCACAUGAGUGGUUUUCUUGAACAGCUUUCUGGCUUUGAAGUUGGAUUCUUGACUGACAUUGAUGCCUGCUUAUAUCUUUCUUUGAGGAUUGAUUCUGCAAAAGAAGAGAACUGAUUACAUCUUUGGAUUGAACUGGGGCAAAAUUAUGGAUAGAACAUCUUGGACAUUUCUAUGUUAGGAUGAUUUGAGUUCUGAUUUAAGUCCUGUGGAAAUUUCUCAAGCUUUCAUGAGCUUGGGAUUCAAAAUUCUGAGUUCUGUGGAUUGGAUCUAGAUGGACCUGUCUCCUUAUUGCAAGCAUUUCAAAUCACUUGGUUGCAACUUGAAUUCAAUAGCAUGCAAAUGUGUGGUUUUAGUUAUCAUUGCUCUGGUUGUUAGAGCUGUUCUGCUUCCUACAUACUCUAGCUUUGAUGGGACUCGGGAGAACAAGUUGGUGUUGGUCAGCAACAUCUCCUUCUCAACUUUGUCAGCAAGUACUAAUUCUGGAAUCCGGAAAGAUAAGCUUCUCGAGGUUCCUCAAAUUGUAUGGGGAUUGAACAAUCAGAAAAUAGCAUUUGCAAGAGCUUGUCUAACCGCGAGGCUUAUGAAUCGUACUCUGUUGAUGCCUAGCUUGAGUGCUUCCUUGUUCUACAAAAAAGUUGAGCUCUUAAAGCCCAUAUCAUUUGAUAAGGUCUUUAAGUUUGACAAGUUUAAUUCGCUCUGUUAUGGUUAUGUUCAGUUAGGGAAAUAUUCGGAUCUUAAAAACCAAACAGGCGCUUUUGAGCUUCAGAAAGGAAGUGGAAGGAGGUGGACACCUGAGAGAGACUUGGAUCAGUUGAAGCAGCAUAGUAAAGGGGCAUAUGAUGAACAUGAGACGAUUCGAAUUGUUGGGAAGAACCCUUUUUUGUGGCAUGAUCAUUGGCCUGUGAAGGACUAUGCAAAGGUGUUUGAGUGCUUGGUUUUGGUUGAUGAUAUCAUGAAAGAAGCCGAUAAAGUUGUGUCGAGGAUUAGAGAGGUAGGAGCAGAACAAAUGAGAAGCAAAAGCGAGUCUGCUGAUAACUCUUUGUUGGUUGAGCCAGUGCCUUACGUAGCUGUUCAUAUGAGGAUAGAGUUAGAUUGGAUGAUACACUGUAAGAAUCUCGAGCGUAGAAUGAACAUAACCGAAAUUUGUAGCAGCAAAGAGGAGAUCAUGGAGAGAGUUGGCAACAUUGUUGGCCUCAAGACUCCAGCUGUUGUAUACUUAGCUGUGGCUGACACCCUACUUCAAGAUUCAUCAAUUUUAAAUGGAUGGAAAGAAGGGUUGGUUCCUUUUGAGAAGAAGAAACUGGGUUUUGAUGCACGCUACAAGACGUUCCCCUACCUCAUUCAGUCUGCAAUUGACUAUGAAGUGUGCUCGAGAGCCGAUGUGUUUGUUGGAAACAGUUUCUCUACAUUUUCUAGCCUCAUUGCUCUUGACAGAACACAGAAGUUGAUCAAAAUGGGAGUCAGUAGCUCAUGUGGUGUUGAUGUUAGGUGGCCUACAUAUGCAUACAACAUAUUAGGAGAAUCUAAUGGACCUCAGAAAUGGAUGACAAACAUGUCAGGCUCGAGUCUUGAAGCAAUUAGCUAUGGCUCCAAUCAAAUAUCUUGUUGAUUGUUUUGAGGCUCCUCCAGUGUUUGCAUUCUAAACCACUCUAUCCCCGGCACAGAUUUGUUGGAUGAUUAUCCCCUGCUGCUCUGACUCUGUGCAACUGCUAUUCUGUCGUUAGGAUAUGCUACAGAUGACCAAAAUGAGGAUAUGGCGUGCU